rnacentral:rRNA from 1 species
UACGUAGGUGGCAAGCGUUGUCCGGAUUUACUGGGCGUAAAGAGCGCACAGGCGGUCGUUCAAGUCGCGUGUGAAAGCCCCCGGCUCAACUGGGGAGGGUCACGCGAUACUGAUCGACUCGAAGGCAGGAGAGGGAAGUGGAAUUCCCGGUGUAGUGGUGAAAUGCGUAGAUAUCGGGAGGAACACCAGUGGCGAAGGCGACUUCCUGGCCUGUUCUUGACGCUGAGGCGCGAAAGCUAGGGGAGCAAACGGG